UUAGUCUUAAACAUAUUUAGUGUAAUAUUACAUUACAUCUGUUUAAUUUUUAUGUCAUAACCAUUGUAGAAAAGCCAUCAUGCCAAGAAAGUACACCAGGAAAACAACCUGGGGACAAACACCCCUCGCAGAAUUGGAGAAUGCAGCUGCUGAGGUCAGGCAAGGAAAGAAGUCUUUAAGAAAAGCUGGAAGGGACAGAAAUAUUGACAAGACAACCCUACAAAGAUUCAUAAAGAAAAAAGAGAAAGGGCAAGUAAAAUCAGUAGCCGGGAGUGCAGUAGCUGAGGCAAAGAGAAUAUUCACAGAUGAGAUGGAGGAGGAGCUUGCUAAACGCUUGAAACAACUAGCUGACCAGUUCCACGGCCUUCCUCCAGUUAAGUGCCGUGAACUGGCAUUUGAAUACGCAAAGAGAAACAAUAUCCCUGUUCCAGCCAAUUGGACAGAGAAACAAUGUGCAGGUAUGCUAGGGUGUGCAAGUGAUCACAAGCUAAAUAAUAAUGCUAAAUAAUAAUCUUAUAAUAAUAAAUUAUCUACUCUCUAGGAAUAGAGUGGUUUCGGAGGUUUCUUGCAUGUUGCCAUCUGUCUGUCCAAACUCCAGAGGCAACAUCCCUGGGAAGGGCUACAGCCUUCAAUAAAACUACAGUAGGGGAGUUCUUCGACAAUCUGGCUGUAGUGAUGGACAGGCACACAUUCCCUCCACACAUGAUUUACAAUGUAGAUUAAACCGGCGUCUUUACAGUUCAAAAGCCACGACAGGUUGUGACAGAGAAAGGAAAAAAGCAAGUUGGUUCUAUCACAUCAUCUGAGAGGGGAGAACUAGUGACUGUGGUGUGUGCAGUGAAUGCUGCUGGGAAUGCCAUACCUCCUAUGUUUGUCUUCCCCAGAGUUAGGUUUAAGGAUGACUUCCUGAUAGGAGCACCUCCAGGAGCCAAAGGUGCCUCCACCAGAACAGGAUGGAUGAAUGAAGACAAGUUCCGAUUAUGGGUCCAUGUUCUGAGACCCAGACUGUGCAUUAGCUGGUUCUGCUUGUACUUUGCUCUUGACACCCAGAUACUAGCUAAAGGUCCUGUGCUAUGAUUCUCACACUGUGAAUGUUAAUUAAAACAUUUUGAAGUAUA